rnacentral:rRNA from 1 species
GUAGGUGGCAAGCGUUGUCCGGAAUUAUUGGGCGUAAAGCGCGCGCAGGUGGUUCUUUAAGACUGAUGUGAAAGACCCCCGGGCUCAACCGGGGAGGGUCAUUGGAAACUGGGGAACUUGAGUGCAGGAGAGGAAAGUGGAAUUCCACGUGUAGCGGUGAAAUGCGUAGAUAUGUGGAGGAACACCAGUGGCGAAGGCGACUUUCUGGCCUGUAACUGACACUGAGGCGCGAAAGCGUGGGGAGCAAACAGGAUUAGAUACCCUGGUAGUCCACGCCGUAAACGAUGAGUGCUAAGUGUUGGGGGGUUUCCGCCCCUCAGUGCUGCAGCUAACGCAUUAAGCACUCCGCCUGGGGAGUACGGUCGCAAAGACUG